GGUAGUCGUACAGGUAACCGUAAAUUUUUACCGGUAACCGUAAAGUUUUAACAUGGUUCCGUAAAUCCUAACGUGGGAACCGUAAAGGAUGGGUGGGAACACGUGGGCAACCUGCCUGUAAGAUCGGGAUAACUCCGGGAAACCGGGGCUAAUACCGGGUAAUACUUUCUUUCGCAUGAAGGAAAGUUGAAAGAUGGCUUCUCGCUAUCACUUACAGAUGGGCCCGCGGCGCAUUAGCUAGUUGGUGAGGUAACGGCUCACCAAGGCGACGAUGCGUAGCCGACCUGAAGGGUGAUCGGCCACACUGGGACUGAGACACGGCCCAACUCCUACGGGAGGCAGCAGUAGGGAAUCUUCGGCAAGGGACGAAAGUCUGACGGAGCAACGCCGCGUGAACGAUGAAGUCUUCGGAUCGUAAAGUUCUUGUUGUUAGGGAAGAACAAGUACCGUGCG
rnacentral:rRNA from 1 species